rnacentral:rRNA from 1 species
GUGCCAGCCGCCGCGGUAAUACGUAGGUGGCAAGCGUUGUCCGGAUUUAUUGGGCGUAAAGCGAGCGCAGGCGGUUCUUUAAGUCUGAUGUGAAAGCCCCCGGCUCAACCGGGGAGGGUCAUUGGGAACUGGAGAACUUGAGUGCAGAAGAGGAGAGUGGAAUUCCAUGUGUAGCGGUGAAAUGCGUAGAUAUAUGGAGGAACACCAGUGGCGAAGGCGACUCUCUGGUCUGUAACUGACGCUGAGGCUCGAAAGCGUGGGGAGCAAACAGGAUUAGAUACCCGGGUAGUCC